rnacentral:tRNA from 2 species
CUUGUAGCUCAGUUGGUAGAGCAUCUGACUCUUAAUCAGAGGGUCCAGGGUUCGAGCCCCUGCA